rnacentral:rRNA from 1 species
GACGAACGCUGGCGGCGUGCUUAACACAUGCAAGUCGAACGGAAAGGCCUCUUUCGGGGGGUACUCGAGUGGCGAACGGGUGAGUAACACGUGAGUAACCUGCCCUUGACUUUGGGAUAACUUCAGGAAACUGGGGCUAAUACCGGAUAGGAGCUCCUGCUGCAUGGUGGGGGUUGGAAAGUUUCGGCGGUUGGGGAUGGACUCGCGGCUUAUCAGCUUGUUGGUGGGGUAGUGGCUUACCAAGGCUGUGACGGGUAGCCGGCCUGAGAGGGUGACCGGCCACAUUGGGACUGAGAUACGGCCCAGACUCCUACGGGAGGCAGCAGUGGGGAAUAUUGCACAAUGGGUGGAAGCCUGAUGCAGCAACGCCGUGUGCGGGAGGACGGGCUUCGGGUUGGAAACCGCUUUCGCUCAUGACGAAGCUUUGUGUGACGGUAGUGGGUAAAGAAGCACCGGCUAACUACGUG